AAUAGUAGUAUUAACCGUUAUAUACAUUCGAUUUCCUAGAUAUUAGUACAUGCAUUUUCAGAAAUUGAAACAAAAAUAUACCUCUAACCAAGUGGAGUCAAAAUAUAUUCAAAGAAAUUUUAACGAUCCAAUCGAAUACCGUUAUUUAUAUUUAGCUUCAAAAUAGCAUAACCCGACUAUAAAAGCAUACUCAGAUCCUUCUGCGUCGCACUGCGCUAGUUGGAUCACUUACGUUCUAACCAAGCAUACAGACAUCUCUUAUUACUUUUUCUACCACAAAACAGAAUCAGUAGAAACAUGUCUGGAAGAGGUCAAGGUCAAGCAAGUAACGACAACAAGUCUGCCCAGUGUAAUCCAACAAGCACUAAAUAUGAAGGACAUCAGUCUGGAUAUUCUGGAACCGGGACUAAGCCAGACCUGGACAACCACUCCAGCCAACUGAAUCCAAACAACCAGGAAUAUAAAGGAUCAAAAUAAAACUGAACUUUUUCACGCAUCUGGUUAUUUAAACCUGUGCAAGACAUUUUCUGUUUCAGUAUUUUGGUAAAUUAAAAUAUUCUAAAUUAAACUUUACUACCUACA